UGUGUGAUACAAGUAUUGUCAAUACCACAUACUAGUACAUCAAAACAGGAAAUUACAGCUGUUGUUUAGUGUCACGUAGUGUUCCUGUAUUGCAUUCAUUCUUAUUUCAGUGUUAUCAAAAUGUAUAUGCAUACCAAAUACUAUGAUGGUAUUGUUUUUGUUUUUACAGCUUCCCUUGAAGACUUGGAUGUUGUAAACCUGCAGUGAAAAAUAUACCUGCUUAAUUAAAUGAAACCAUCCAUAACAAUAGGAAACAUCAUGAUUAAAAGACCCUGGAAAGGGAUCAUGAAAACUGUUGGGAGUGUCCAUUCAACUGAAAUACCAAAGUCAGUUGAAGAUUGUAAUUUAUGCAACAGAAGUGACCUAACAUGACCAAAUUGAUAUGAAUAGCCAGUCCUUCGCUUACAGUUAUUACAAGAGUCGCCACAAAGAAAAGGCUUUAGCGUACAUUACACCUAAUGCAGCUCAUUUCAAAUCUGUAUGCUGGAUACAAAUCUAAUUCGGCAAUCGUGAACCAUUGUGGCAUUUUGGAGAAGUUACAAGUUGGUGAUAUGUUCCUGGCGGACAAAGGAUUUUGUGUAUUUGACAAACUUCCAAAUGACAUGACACUUAAUGUCCCACUAUUGUUUACCAAUAAUUCCACUUCCCAAAAGAGGAUGCACAGCUUUGCUAUAAGAUUCGCAGAGGCAGAAUCCAUGGAGGAUGGGAAAAUGAGAGAAUAUAUCUUUUUUUAAAUCCUGAGCCAUAUUCUAUCACAGUAUAGAUAUUGAUCUGACAAAAUAUUUCAGAUUUGUGUGGCCAAUGUGAAUUUGCAGGUUCCCCUUUUGAAGGAGAUUGCAGAUAAAUCCUACAAACUUAUUAGAUUAAUUGCACUUAUAUGUAUAAUUUAAAUCUGCACAUACCUCAUCUAAAAUAAGAAAAACCUGUCUAUAAAGUUUAUUGAACAGAGGAUGCUUACUGCUCCUAGGCACCUGAUCCCACCUCUGGUGUGUCCAGGGGUCCGUGUUUGCGCAACUAUCUAUUUUGUAUUGCUUGUAGGAGUUAUGGGAUUGAUCACUGUUCGUUAUCUUCACCUUGCAUAUAUGUAAUUACAUAACUUUGAUAGAUGCACCACUGAUAUCAUAGUAAAGUAUAUGUAAAUGUGGUUAUGUGUGUGUGUUUUAUAAUUCAAUCGGUGAAAUUGAAAGAAUUUUCUAGCAUAACAAAGACAGCAAAAUACUUUUUUAUUAUAAUAUUAUAAUUAAACUCUCUCUCGCUUGAAAUGUUUUUGACCAUAAUACAUUUUUGUCGAUGUGAACUCUUUGAGUGUCAAUAGGAGUCCACACUAGGAAAUCACAGCAUAGGGUGUCUUUCAGGUGUUGUUGUCCUUGGAUGUGGUGUCAAUAUUCAUACUGUCUUUUGAGGUGCAGCGAACCAUCGCUUGCAUCACAUUCUUAAAUGGCAAAUGUCAUUACAUAAAUUGAUAAAACAUGUGUACAACAUGAUUUACAAGUGCUUUGAUUAGGAGUAAAGGUAGUAUACUACACACAUACUUAUUUUGUACUGCAGUAUUCAAAACAUGAUGCGAGUAAGGUUAAAUUCACAAUAAAAGAAAAACAUUAACAGUUCAAUAUCACAAUGAAACCUAAGUAGUACUUGUCUCUCAUUCAAAAAACGUUACUAUAAAGUUAUAAUAAACUGGGGUACAUUCAUAAAAUAUGAAUACAUUUUAAAAGUACAGCUAAUGUACGUACAUUGGGUACACAUACAUGUAAUUGUUCACUCUAUAAUGCUGACUUACCAAGAGGGAAAUCCCAACAUUUGCCUCUUUAAUUGUCAUUGCUCGAGCUGAAAAUGGGCAUUUAACCCCAAUUAAGAAUUUCAGGCGUUGCUUACAAUGGCCUGUUGUCCUGAUGAAUGAGGAUGCAGUUCAUUCCUCCAUUGUCGUUGUGACCUUUGGCUGUGUCGACUUUGGAUAUUUUAUCCAACUACCGGUGUAUUUUACAUCAGUUUUAUUUGCCUUCUUAUAUCUGAAAAUUUCCAAUAUAUCUACAUGUAACAUUUUUAUCUUUGGGUAUAUGAUAAUCAUAAUAGAUAAAGAUCCAAACACGUAUUGACUUUGUUUUUAUCUUUAAAUUGUAUACAUGCCUCUGAAAACUUCUUAUGGUUGAUGUUUUAUCUGUUAUACAAUUUUAACUUAAUUCUAACUCACCACUUAUUACAUUAUGCAUCUUCAGUUUUAUACACAUAAUACAUACUAUCGAAUAAAAAUUAUGGAGCCAUGUCGUGCUACCAGUUGGAUAUAGCUACAGAAACAUGGUACAGGGUCUAAGGUGUAGCAUUUGGCGACGACCGCAUAAUUAGGGCCCCGCAUAAAAUGCGGGAAGCCCUAUAGUAAUGACAUUGUCCGUCCGUCCGUCCGUCCGUCUGGCCGUCCGUCCGUCAACACUUUCUUUGCGACACGAUAACUCAAACAGUUUUUAUCGUACAGUUUUCAAAUUUUGUACAGAAAUAAUGUACAAUAAGAGGACGAAGCCUAUAGAUCUUGGGGUCAUUUCACUGUGUCUGUCUGUACGGCAUGAUCUUUCUCAUUAUGAACAUUUUCUUUGUUACACAAUAACUCAAACAGUUUUCAUUGUACAGUUUUCAAAUUUUGUACAGAAAUACUUUACAAUAAGAGGAAGACACCUAUAGAUUUUGGGGUCAUGUCACUUUGUCUGUCUGUCUGUAUGUGUGUCAUUAUCUUUGUUAUUAUGAACACUUUCUUUGUGACACGAUAACUCAAACAGUUUUCAUUGUACAGUUUUCAAAUUUUGUACAGAAAUGCUUUACAAUAAGAGGAAGAUACCUAUAGAUUUUGAAGUCGUGUCACUUUGUCUGUCUGUUUGAAUGUCGUCAUCUUUCUUAUUAUGACCGUAUUUAUUUACCACUGUCUAAGGGAGAUAAUUCAAUUUGAAUUAUGAUAUGUAUUGUAUUGAUAUAUAGAAAAUUUACAAGAAAUAACUCUACAACAUUGUGUAUGUGUAUAUAUUUGGUUUUUUUUAAUGUGAUAUAAAAAAUGCUUGAUGUUACAUGUAUAUUGAAUUAAAACACGUCAUUCGCAGUCAGCAACUAUCGAUCGGGAUCGGAAUGAGAAAUAAAAUUUCUUAUAUCCGGUUGCAAAGUGAAACUGCUUCAUGCUUCAAGUUGUUGAAUUAUGUAGUAAUUGCACGUUACACAUUAGAGAACUGUUCCUUUUAAUAAAGAAAGUCACAAAAUAGAUACAAAAUGAGUGUACCUUAUUCAUUACUGUUAGCGAGCUUUCGUCGGCGAAAAUCUCGAAAUGGCGUGUUUCACUGUGCUUGUUGACGGUAAGGUCCACAUUUUCUAUGUGAGUAUUUUUAUAUUUCAUCAUGAAUUUUUUGCGCAUACAUGGUAUGUCUCGGCUAGGAAUAAUGGAAACGUUCUCACUUAUGUAUGUAAAGACAUAUUAAUCUCUAUUUUUAAAAAUGUAGAACACUUUUAUCAAAUGACAAUGUGUUUGAAAACGCUUAGAGCCCCGAUGUCAGAAUUUCCUUUUCCAAGACAUCAAUAUGUCAAAUUCAUAAUCCUUUUAGAAUAGGAUGUACCAUAUUUUGCACCAGUUAUCCAUUUUGAAUCCUCUUUUAGAAUGGGAUUUUGUUGCACUCUGUUGUGUUUGAGUGGAUGUCAUGAGUGUGUGUCAAACAGAAGUAAUAUAAAUUGCAUAAGUCUCUCACAAUUAUGCUUCAUCAGCUCUUAUACUUGGACGAAUUUCGCUCCACUUUUUUGGCACGCUGUUGUUUGCUAUAAUUAGCUCUAAAACUUCAUAGUUAUUUCGGAUUUCAAACAUUUCGGUUGAGCAUCACUGAAGAGACAUUAUUUGUCGAAAUGCGCAUCUGGUGCAUCAAAAUUGGUACCGUAUAAGUUUUACAUGAUGCCUUUUUCACAAAUUGGCAUUCCAAUGUAUCUUUAUAUAUUAUUAAUUCUAACAUAUAUACCAGCUCCAAACAUUGCUAUAUCAAAUACAGAUGUCACUUACCUCUAAUAUUACCCUCGACGGGGCCCUUGCUGACCGUGUCAGUUUUCUAGUUCUUGCCUGACGACGAUCUCAAAAUUGUUGUUUGGCAUAAUUUUGAUUAAUAACUAAUAACUAGUGGCACUCUAUUAUCAAAAUUUUCUUUGGCGAUCCUACUCUAAUUCUUUUCUGUAUACAUUUUAGUUAUUUCACAUGUAUAUACAUACCUACAUCCCUGUUACUAAUAUUACUAAUUAUUACCUUCUAUUAAAAUCAAAAUAAAUAUCAAAUAUUCUGUUAUUCAUAUAAAAUAUUAAAAUAUAUUAAACAUAAAUUAUUAUUAAAAUUAUUAAAUAAAUCAAAUAAAAUUUAUUGUUAGAAUUAUUAUAUAAAUUAAAUAAAUUUUCCUUUUAAAUUUAAUAAAUAUCAUUAUUUAAAUUAUUAAAUAAAUUAUUUAAAUAAAGUAUUAAAUAAAAAUUCUUAUCACUAAUAAAAAUUAUUAUUUAUAUUAUAAUUUAAAUAAACCUUAUUAAAUAUAUUCAAUAAAAUUAUUAAAUAAAAUAAUAAAUUUCUUUUUUAAUUUUAACACUUAUUUAUAAUUUUCAAUUUUAUUACUUAUUUAUCAUUAAAUCAAUAUCAUUUUAUAAUAUAUUUUUUUAUAUAUAAAAUAUAAGUUACUUCUUUAUUUCAUUAUGAUUUAAGACCUAUGACCACCUGUAUGUGUCCGGCCAUCAAAAGACAGUACCGCAGUCAUCAGAUGUGUUGGUACACGAUGGUCCUUAUUUAUUUAUUAUUAUUUAUUUUUAAACCAUGGGACAACCGAUACGUCCCAUACGGAGCAUAUGUAUGUUAUUAAAACACACUUCAACUUCACUAUGAUGGUGCAUUUGGGAGGUGUUGGAGGGUGAGGCUGGAUCGCAAAGAGAUGGAUAGUAUUAUGGAUGAUAAUAGUCACCAAUCGGUUAACGAUAUAUAGUCAACCAAUCCUACGAAUAUCAAACAAACUAAUGGUAUAGAUUAACUUCAUACUAUUUCAUUGAACCAGCUUGAGAUUAUAUAAUUGAAACCAUCUUUUAUUGAACAUAAUUCAUCCUUACUCAAAAAUUCUAUUAUUUGAAGGUGGGUAAAAUUAUUCAAAAUUAAGUUCAAAGUUAAGAAACACGGUUUUCAGAAAACUUAGAUGGGGGAUUUUAUACUGUUUUUCAAAAAUGUUAACCUAAAAUUUUGAUAUUGCUGUUUCAUGGUAAGAGAAUGAAUAUCCAAUGUCUCAAAACAAAAGAAAUGUUGAUACAUGUAAAUUAAAGGAAAAUUGUGUUCAUUCCUUACAAUAUUUCUAUGAAGUCGACGUUUUCGAGAUAUUUAUUUAAAAUCACGGCGGUAUGACAAGCAUGUGGUUAAACUCAAGAUAACAUUCAUAACACAUGAUUCAUUUAUUUGAAUUGGGUUUGGAAACACUUCAAAAUUCAAUCUCCGAUAUUAAACAUUGUUUGUGCUCCUAGAAAUAAAUCUGUCGAUUUACACGUACGCUUUAAACCUUUCAGUGGAAAAUGACAUUGUUCUGAUUUUUGAAAAACGGUAUAAAAUCCCCCAUCUAAGUUUUCCGAAAACCGUGUUUCUCAAAAUUGCCAAAAUAUUUAAAAAGUCAGAUUAAUGCUGUAUCCUAAGAUAUAACUCUGUCGAUUUGCACGUAAGCUUAAUACAUGUUUGGGGACAAUGACAUCGUUCUCAUUUUUGAAAACCUGACUUAAUAUUGUCCAUUAGAACUAUGUAGCAAAUUCUUUCAGAAAGUCGUGUUCUGCAUUUUAUCAAUUUCUCAACAGAGUCGGGCUACUGACAAAUAUGCGAAAA